rnacentral:rRNA from 1 species
UAGCUACAGGCUUAACACAUGCAAGUCGAGGGGCAGCAUGGUCUUAGCUUGCUAAGGCCGAUGGCGACCGGCGCACGGGUGAGUAACACGUAUCCAACCUGCCGUCUACUCUUGGACAGCCUUCUGAAAGGAAGAUUAAUACAAGAUGGCAUCAUGAGUCCGCAUGUUCACAUGAUUAAAGGUAUUCCGGUAGACGAUGGGGAUGCGUUCCAUUAGAUAGUAGGCGGGGUAACGGCCCACCUAGUCUUCGAUGGAUAGGGGUUCUGAGAGGAAGGUCCCCCACAUUGGAACUGAGACACGGUCCAAACUCCUACGGGAGGCAGCAGUGAGGAAUAUUGGUCAAUGGGCGAGAGCCUGAACCAGCCAAGUAGCGUGAAGGAUGACUGCCCUAUGGGUUGUAAACUUCUUUUAUAAAGGAAUAAAGUCGGGUAUGCAUACCCGUUUGCAUGUACUUUAUGAAUAAGGAUCGGCUAACUCCGUGCCAGCAGCCGCGGUAAUACGGAGGAUCCGAGCGUUAUCCGGAUUUAUUGGGUUUAAAGGGAGCGUAGAUGGAUGUUUAAGUCAGUUGUGAAAGUUUGCGGCUCAACCGUAAAAUUGCAGUUGAUACUGGAUAUCUUGAGUGCAGUUGAGGCAGGCGGAAUUCGUGGUGUAGCGGUGAAAUGCUUAGAUAUCACGAAGAACUCCGAUUGCGAAGGCAGCCUGCUAAGCUGCAACUGACAUUGAGGCUCGAAAGUGUGGGUAUCAAACAGGAUUAGAUACCCUGGUAGUCCACACGGUAAACGAUGAAUACUCGCUGUUUGCGAUAUACGGCAAGCGGCCAAGCGAAAGCGUUAAGUAUUCCACCUGGGGAGUACGCCGGCAACGGUGAAACUCAAAGGAAUUGACGGGGGCCCGCACAAGCGGAGGAACAUGUGGUUUAAUUCGAUGAUGCGCGAGGAACCUUACCCGGGCUUAAAUUGCAGAUGAAUUACAGUGAAAGCCGUAAGCCGCAAGGCAUCUGUGAAGGUGCUGCAUGGUUGUCGUCAGCUCGUGCCGUGAGGUGUCGGCUUAAGUGCCAUAACGAGCGCAACCCUUGUUGUCAGUUACUAACAGGUUCCGCUGAGGACUCUGACAAGACUGCCAUCGUAAGAUGUGAGGAAGGUGGGGAUGACGUCAAAUCAGCACGGCCCUUACGUCCGGGGCUACACACGUGUUACAAUGGGGGGUACAGAGGGCCGCUACCACGCGAGUGGAUGCCAAUCCCCAAAACCUCUCUCAGUUCGGACUGGAGUCUGCAACCCGACUCCACGAAGCUGGAUUCGCUAGUAAUCGCGCAUCAGCCACGGCGCGGUGAAUACGUUCCCGGGCCUUGUACACACCGCCCGUCAAGCCAUGGGAGCCGGGGGUACCUGAAGUGCGUAACCGCGAGGAGCGCCCUAGGGUAAAACUGGUGACUGGGGCUAAGUCGUA